CUGCCUUUUCCUAGCUGUCCAGAUUUGAAAGCAUGUUCUUGCUCUUGGAGGAAAGCCCUGCUCUGUCCAUACUUCUCUGCUCUUUCUUCUUCCAUUAAAGCUUUUUCUUUUUCCUUCACUUCAUAUAAGAAAUAAUUGUCCUUUCGCAGUUCGCGAGCUGCCCCUUUAGCUUCUCUUUUUAGUUGUUUCUUUAACUUUCUUCCUUCAGCCCGUUCACGAUCUGGAUCAUAAUCUCUACCCUUAACAAAGUUCUCCUCAAAUUUUGGGGUAAGUAGUUUGAUGGGCAGUGGCUUCUUCUUCCGCAUUUGAAGUGGUAGCCGCUGUGUAUAUUGUUCAGCUUUCUUCUUAAUAAGUUCAGCAACAUUUUUAUAUUUAUCUUGUAAUGCUGCUGGCAAG
rnacentral:misc_RNA from 1 species